rnacentral:rRNA from 1 species
AGCGAACGCUGGCGGCAGGCUUAACACAUGCAAGUCGAGCGCCCCGCAAGGGGAGCGGCAGACGGGAGAGUAACACGUGGGAACGUACCCUUUGGUUCGGAACAACCCAGGGAAACUUGGGCUAAUACCGGAUAAGUCCGUAAGGAGAAAGAUUUAUCGCCAAUGGAUCGGCCCGCGUCUGAUUAGCUAGUUGGUGAGGUAAUGGCCUCACG